rnacentral:rRNA from 1 species
GACGAACGCUGGCGGCGUGCCUAACACAUGCAAGUCGAGCGAGAAUCUAUCAAUUGAUCCUUCGGGUGAUUUUGAUAGAGGAAAGCGGCGGACGGGUGAGUAACGCGUGAGCAACCUUUCUCUUACUGGGGAAUAACACAGGGAAACUUGUACUAAUACCGCAUGAGACCACAGAGGGGCAUCCUUCGGAGGUCAAAGAUUUAUCGGUAAGAGGUGGGCUCGCGUCUGAUUAGAUAGUUGGUGGGGUAACGGCCUACCAAGUCGACGAUCAGUAGCCGACCUGAGAGGGUGAUCGGCCACAUUGGGACUGAGACACGGCCCAAACUCCUACGGGAGGCAGCAGUGGGGAAUAUUGGGCAAUGGGGGAAACCCUGACCCAGCAACGCCGCGUGGAGAAAGAAGGUUUUCGGAUCGUAAACUCCUGUCCUCAGGGAAGAGCAGAAGACGGUACCUGAGGAGGAAGCCCCGGCUAACUACGUGCCAGCAGCCGCCGUAAUAC